CCCCUGGGUCCUACUCCAUCCUCCAGCCU
rnacentral:piRNA from 1 species